rnacentral:rRNA from 1 species
GGGUUGUGAGGUUAAGCGACUAAGCGUACACGGUGGAUGCCCUGGCAGUCAGAGGCGAUGAAGGACGUGCUAAUCUGCGAUAAGCGUCGGUAAGGUGAUAUGAACCGUUAUAACCGGCGAUUUCCGAAUGGGGAAACCCAGUGUGAUUCGUCACACUAUCAUUAACUGAAUCCAUAGGUUAAUGAGGCGAACCGGGGGAACUGAAACAUCUAAGUACCCCGAGGAAAAGAAAUCAACCGAGAUUCCCCCAGUAGCGGCGAGCGAACGGGAGGAGCCCAGAGCCUGAAUCAGUGUGUGUGUUAGUGGAAGCGUCUGGAAAGGCGCGCGAUACAGGGUGACAGCCCCGUACACAAAAAUGCACAUGCUGUGAGCUCGAUGAGUAGGGCGGGACACGUGGUAUCCUGUCUGAAUAUGGGGGGACCAUCCUCCAAGGCUAAAUACUCCUGACUGACCGAUAGUGAACCAGUACCGUGAGGGAAAGGCGAAAAGAACCCCGGCGAGGGGAGUGAAAAAGAACCUGAAACCGUGUACGUACAAGCAGUGGGAGCACAGAGCAAUCUGUGUGACUGCGUACCUUUUGUAUAAUGGGUCAGCGACUUAUAUUCUGUAGCAAGGUUAACCGAAUAGGGGAGCCGAAGGGAAACCGAGUCUUAACUGGGCGUUAAGUUGCAGGGUAUAGACCCGAAACCCGGUGAUCUAGCCAUGGGCAGGUUGAAGGUUGGGUAACACUAACUGGAGGACCGAACCGACUAAUGUUGAAAAAUUAGCGGAUGACUUGUGGCUGGGGGUGAAAGGCCAAUCAAACCGGGAGAUAGCUGGUUCUCCCCGAAAGCUAUUUAGGUAGCGCCUCGUGAAUUCAUCUCCGGGGGUAGAGCACUGUUUCGGCAAGGGGGUCAUCCCGACUUACCAACCCGAUGCAAACUGCGAAUACCGGAGAAUGUUAUCACGGGAGACACACGGCGGGUGCUAACGUCCGUCGUGAAGAGGGAAACAACCCAGACCGCCAGCUAAGGUCCCAAAGUCAUGGUUAAGUGGGAAACGAUGUGGGAAGGCCCAGACAGCCAGGAUGUUGGCUUAGAAGCAGCCAUCAUUUAAAGAAAGCGUAAUAGCUCACUGGUCGAGUCGGCCUGCGCGGAAGAUGUAACGGGGCUAAACCAUGCACCGAAGCUGCGGCAGCGACGCUUAUGCGUUGUUGGGUAGGGGAGCGUUCUGUAAGCCUGCGAAGGUGUGCUGUGAGGCAUGCUGGAGGUAUCAGAAGUGCGAAUGCUGACAUAAGUAACGAUAAAGCGGGUGAAAAGCCCGCUCGCCGGAAGACCAAGGGUUCCUGUCCAACGUUAAUCGGGGCAGGGUGAGUCGACCCCUAAGGCGAGGCCGAAAGGCGUAGUCGAUGGGAAACAGGUUAAUAUUCCUGUACUUGGUGUUACUGCGAAGGGGGGACGGAGAAGGCUAUGUUGGCCGGGCGACGGUUGUCCCGGUUUAAGCGUGUAGGCUGGUUUUCCAGGCAAAUCCGGAAAAUCAAGGCUGAGGCGUGAUGACGAGGCACUACGGUGCUGAAGCAACAAAUGCCCUGCUUCCAGGAAAAGCCUCUAAGCAUCAGGUAACAUCAAAUCGUACCCCAAACCGACACAGGUGGUCAGGUAGAGAAUACCAAGGCGCUUGAGAGAACUCGGGUGAAGGAACUAGGCAAAAUGGUGCCGUAACUUCGGGAGAAGGCACGCUGAUAUGUAGGUGAAGCGACUUGCUCGUGGAGCUGAAAUCAGUCGAAGAUACCAGCUGGCUGCAACUGUUUAUUAAAAACACAGCACUGUGCAAACACGAAAGUGGACGUAUACGGUGUGACGCCUGCCCGGUGCCGGAAGGUUAAUUGAUGGGGUCAGCGCAAGCGAAGCUCUUGAUCGAAGCCCCGGUAAACGGCGGCCGUAACUAUAACGGUCCUAAGGUAGCGAAAUUCCUUGUCGGGUAAGUUCCGACCUGCACGAAUGGCGUAAUGAUGGCCAGGCUGUCUCCACCCGAGACUCAGUGAAAUUGAACUCGCUGUGAAGAUGCAGUGUACCCGCGGCAAGACGGAAAGACCCCGUGAACCUUUACUAUAGCUUGACACUGAACAUUGAGCCUUGAUGUGUAGGAUAGGUGGGAGGCUUUGAAGUGUGGACGCCAGUCUGCAUGGAGCCGACCUUGAAAUACCACCCUUUAAUGUUUGAUGUUCUAACGUGGACCCGUAAUCCGGGUUGCGGACAGUGUCUGGUGGGUAGUUUGACUGGGGCGGUCUCCUCCUAAAGAGUAACGGAGGAGCACGAAGGUUGGCUAAUCCUGGUCGGACAUCAGGAGGUUAGUGCAAUGGCAUAAGCCAGCUUGACUGCGAGCGUGACGGCGCGAGCAGGUGCGAAAGCAGGUCAUAGUGAUCCGGUGGUUCUGAAUGGAAGGGCCAUCGCUCAACGGAUAAAAGGUACUCCGGGGAUAACAGGCUGAUACCGCCCAAGAGUUCAUAUCGACGGCGGUGUUUGGCACCUCGAUGUCGGCUCAUCACAUCCUGGGGCUGAAGUAGGUCCCAAGGGUAUGGCUGUUCGCCAUUUAAAGUGGUACGCGAGCUGGGUUUAGAACGUCGUGAGACAGUUCGGUCCCUAUCUGCCGUGGGCGCUGGAGAACUGAGGGGGGCUGCUCCUAGUACGAGAGGACCGGAGUGGACGCAUCACUGGUGUUCGGGUUGUCAUGCCAAUGGCACUGCCCGGUAGCUAAAUGCGGAAGAGAUAAGUGCUGAAAGCAUCUAAGCACGAAACUUGCCCCGAGAUGAGUUCUCCCUGACUCCUUGAGAGUCCUGAAGGAACGUUGAAGACGACGACGUUGAUAGGCCGGGUGUGUAAGCGCAGCGAUGCGUUGAGCUAACCGGUACUAAUGAACCGUGAGGCUUAACCUUACAACGCCGAAGGUGUUU